GGGAUAUUGCACAAUGGGGGGAACCCUGAUGCAGCGACGCCGCGUGGGUGAAGAAGUAUUUCGGUAUGUAAAGCCCUAUCAGCAGGGAAGAAAGUGACGGUACCUGAGUAAGAAGCCCCGGCUAACUACGUGCCAGCAGCCGCGGUAAUACGUAGGGGGCAAGCGUUAUCCGGAUUUACUGGGUGUAAAGGGAGCGUAGACGGAGAGACAAGUCAGAUGUGGAAGCGACAGGCUCAGCCUGUGGAGUGCAUUUGAAACUGUAGCCCUAGAGUGCUGGAGGGGUGGGCGGAAUUCCCGGUGUAGCGGUGAAAUGCGUAGAUAUCGGGAAGAACACCGGCGGCGAAGGCGGCCCACUGGACAGCAACUGACGUUGAGGCUCGAGAGCGUGGGGAGCAAACA
rnacentral:rRNA from 1 species